AGCUGCGCGUGCUUACACAUGCAAGUCGAACGAUGAUCCGGUGCUUGCAUCGGGGAUUAGUGGCGAACGGGUGAGUAACACGUGAGUAACCUGCCCUUGACUCUGGGAUAAGCCUGGGAAACUGGGUCUAAUACCGGAUACGACUGUCCCGCGCAUGCGGUGGUGGUGGAAAGCUUUUGCGGUUUUGGAUGGACUCGCGGCCUAUCAGCUUGUUGGUGGGGUAAUGGCCUACCAAGGCGACGACGGGUAGCCGGCCUGAGAGGGUGACCGGCCACACUGGGACUGAGACACGGCCCAGACUCCUACGGGAGGCAGCAGUGGGGAAUAUUGCACAAUGGGCGAAAGCCUGAUGCAGCGACGCCGCGUGAGGGAUGACGGCCUUCGGGUUGUAAACCUCUUUCAGUAGGGAAGAAGCGAAAGUGACGGUACCUGCAGAAGAAGCGCCGGCUAACUACGUGCCAGCAGCCGCGGUAAUACGUAGGGCGCAAGCGUUAUCCGGAAUUAUUGGGCGUAAAGAGCUCGUAGGCGGUUUGUCGCGUCUGCUGUGAAAGACCGGGGCUCAACUCCGGUUCUGCAGUGGGUACGGGCAGACUAGAGUGAUGUAGGGGAGACUGGAAUUCCUGGUGUAGCGGUGAAAUGCGCAGAUAUCAGGAGGAACACCGAUGGCGAAGGCAGGUCUCUGGGCAUUAACUGACGCUGAGGAGCGAAAGCAUGGGGAGCGAACAGGAUUAGAUACCCUGGUAGUCCAUGCCGUAAACGUUGGGCACUAGGUGUGGGGGACAUUCCACGUUUUCCGCGCCGUAGCUAACGCAUUAAGUGCCCCGCCU
rnacentral:rRNA from 1 species